AUUGACCGCUGGCGGCAGGCCUAACACAUGCAAGUCGAACGAGUGGCGGACGGGUGAGUACUGUCUGGGAAAGUGCCUGAUGGAGGGGGAUAAAUACUGGACACGGUAGCUAAUAGCGCAUAACCUCAGAUGUGCCCAGAUGGGAUGAGCUUGUUGGUGGGGUAACGGCUCACCAAGGCGACGACCCCUAGCUGGUCUGAGAGGAUGACCAGCCACACUGGACCUGAGACACGGUCCAGACUCCUACGGGAGGCAGCAGUGGGGAAUAUUGCACAAUGGGCGCAAGCCUGAUGCAGCCAUGCCGCGUGUAUGAAGAAGGCCUUCGGGUUGUAAAGUACUUUCAGCGGGGAGGCGUUACCCGCAGAAGAAGCACCGGCUAACUCCGUGCCAGCAGCCGCGGUAAUAC
rnacentral:rRNA from 1 species